CCGAGUUAUACAACUCCCAAACCCCUGUGAACAUACCUACGUUGCUUCGGCGGACCGCCCCGGCGCCCGCCGAGGGACCAAACUCUUGCUUUCGCUUUAGUGGAAUUUCCUUCUGAGUCAAACAAGUAAAUAAUCA
rnacentral:misc_RNA from 1 species